rnacentral:rRNA from 1 species
AGCGAACGCUGGCGGCAGGCCUAACACAUGCAAGUCGAACGGACCCUUCGGGGUUAGUGGCGGACGGGUGAGUAACACGUGGGAACGUGCCUUUAGGUUCGGAAUAAGCUCGGGAAACUGGGUCUAAUACCGAAUGUGCCCUUCGGGGGAAAGAUUUAUCGCCUUUAGAGCGGCCCGCGUCUGAUUAGCUAGUUGGUGAGGUAAAGGCUCACCAAGGCGACGAUCAGUAGCUGGUCUGAGAGGAUGAUCAGCCACACUGGGACUGAGACACGGCCCAGACUCCUACGGGAGGCAGCAGUGGGGAAUCUUGCGCAAUGGGCGAAAGCCUGACGCAGUCAUGCCGCGUGAAUGAUGAAGGUCUUAGGAUUGUAAAAUUCUUUCACCGGGGACGAUAAUGACGGUACCCGGAGAAGAAGCCCCGGCUAACUUCGUGCCAGCAGCCGCCGUAA